UACGUAGGGAGCAAGCGUUGUCCGGAUUUAUUGGGCGUAAAGCGCACGCAGGCGGUUUUAGUCAGUCUCUACUGACAGUGUCCGGCUCAACCGGGCAAGUGGUAGGGAAACUGCUAAACUUGAGGGCUUCAGAGGGAUGGGGAACUCCAGGUGGAGUGGUGAAAUGCGUAGAUAUCUGGAGGAACAUCGAUGGCGAAGGCAAUCACCUGGGCCUGAACUGACACUGUGACACGAAAGCGUGGGUAGCAAACAGG
rnacentral:rRNA from 1 species